UUUGUUUAUUCUGUUUAGAAUCGGACGCAUAAAAUGCAGUGUAAAAAAGGCCUCCGGGGCCGCCGCGAGACGUGACCCCGAAGCAACAGUGUUAAUUCGCAAAGGGUUUGGAGGUAAGGGCCACGAGGGACCCGUAACUCGGUAAUGAUCCCUCCGCAGGUUCACCUACGGAGA
rnacentral:misc_RNA from 1 species